UUUUGUUUGUUUUAGGUGUGUCAUGUUGAGAUGCAAUAUGACCUGCUGCUAUUGCCAGAGCAUUCUGGACUGUGGAUCAUGAACAGACAGAGCUAUUUAACGUCAGUUUCACUCCUGAAGAAAGCUUUCAUGGAUUUCAGGUUCCCUCCUGUCCUCUCUGUUUUCUUUUGCCAGUGAUUUGGGUUGCCUUAACUUUGAAAGCUGCCUCUGCAGUGAAUGUAUGGUCUGGUGACAGCUGAGUGCGGUGCUAUGGUGACCAGGAGCUCUCAGCGAGGCACCACAGGGCAGGAGGCUGACAGUCACCUACAGACACGCUCCCUCAAGAACACAUGCAUGCAACAUGCAGCUGCAAUGGAAAUGGAAGUACACCUGUGCGCAUCACCACUGGCUGCUGCAAGCUGUUUGAGCUCCUGUGACACUGAUGAGGGGAUGUCUCUGUGCCUUCAUCACCAAGCUAUUAAAGGCAAGCUUUUUUUUUCUUUCUAUUGUAAUCCCAACAAAACACCUAAAGUAGCCUCAAUAACAAUGAAGUUAGACAUUCAGUACAUCGGAAUAUUUUAUUUUCACUUUACAUGCGGUGUUAAAAACCCAAAGAACGUAUUAUUUACACAUCCACAAUACAAGUUUACAAGAUAUCUAUACAUGUUAAAGUACUCUAUAGUAUAGAGCAGCUUCAUUUAAGGGUUACUUUUUUAUGCCGUACCAUUAAAAAAGAUACAAUCUGCGUUUACCUUUGCACAAAUGGAUAAAGCAUCUUUUAUUAUUAAAUUAACAGAAUAAAGACUAGGUUGAAUGUUAGAAAUUUCA
rnacentral:lncRNA from 1 species